AUUGAACGCUGGCGGCAUGCCUUACACAUGCAAGUCGAACGGUAACGCGGGGCAACCUGGCGACGAGUGGCGAACGGGUGAGUAAAGCAUCGGAACGUGCCCAAUAGUGGGGGAUAGCCCGGCGAAAGCCGGAUUAAUACCGCAUACGACCUGAGGGUGAAAGCGGGGGAUCGCAAGACCUCGCGCUGAUGGAGCGGACGAUGUCAGAUUAGGUAGUUGGUGGGGUAAAGGCCUACCAAGCCGACGAUCUGUAGCUGGUCUGAGAGGACGACCAGCCACACUGGGACUGAGACACGGCCCAGACUCCUACGGGAGGCAGCAGUGGGGAAUUUUGGACAAUGGGGGAAACCCUGAUCCAGCCAUGCCGCGUGCGGGAAGAAGGCCUUCGGGUUGUAAACCGCUUUUGUCGGGGGAGAAAUCCCUCAGGCUAAUACCUUGAGGGGAUGACGGUACCCGAAGAAUAAGCACCGGCUAACUACGUGCCAGCCGCCGCGGUAA
rnacentral:rRNA from 1 species